rnacentral:tRNA from 1 species
GGCGCCGUGGCUCAGUUGGUUAAUGCGUCUGUCUAGUAAACAGGAGAUCACGAGUUCGAAUCUCGUCGGUGCCU